GACGAACGCUGGCGGCGUGCUUAACACAUGCAAGUCGAACGGAAAGGCCCUGCUUUUGUGGGGUGCUCGAGUGGCGAACGGGUGAGUAACACGUGAGUAACCUGCCCUUAACUUUGGGAUAACUUCAGGAAACUGGGGCUAAUACCGGAUAGGAGCUCCUGCUGCAUGGUGGGGGUUGGAAAGUUUCGGCGGUUGGGGAUGGACUCGCGGCUUAUCAGCUUGUUGGUGGGGUAGUGGCUUACCAAGGUUUUGACGGCUAGGCGGCCUUGGAGGGUUGACGGGGACAUUGGGACUGAGAUACGGACCAGAAUCCUACGGGAGGCAGCAGGGGGGAAUAUUGCACAAUGGGCGGAAGCCUGAUGCGGCGACGCCGCGUGCGGGAUGACGUCCCUCGGGUUGUAAACCGCUUUCUCCUGUGACGAAGCGUGAGUGACGGUAAUGGGUAAAGAAGCACCGGCUAACUACGUG
rnacentral:rRNA from 1 species